UCACAGCUAGAGGAAUAGGAUCAGUGAGAAUGGUAGAGGAAUCCCAUUCAGAAGCUGAACCCUGGGAAUAAAGUCACUAAAAUGGAAGAAAGAAGUACAGAGCGAAGAGACAGACUUUGUAACCCCAUGAUACUAGAUAUCAUCCAUUGAAGAAAAAUCCACUUAUUCUUAAUUUGGAAGAAGCACCAAAAUGAAGUAGGGAGAGGCAAGCAGAGGAAGUGGACAGAUCAUUGACUAAACUGUCACUUAUGGAAACACCUGGAAGGAAAGAUAGAAAGGUGUCUAGAACAAAUGGCUAAGAUGAUAUGAAGAGAAAUACAUGUGAAUAGAAUUUCAAGAGUGGGCUGAGGGGAUAGACUGUAGUCUGUAUUACUCUGAAGACAAUUGGAAGCAAUCCCUCAAGUUUAGAAAGCUCAGCUGACACCUCACGUCACCUCACCUAAAAGCUGUGUCAAGGUAUUGGAUUAUGUGGAUAAGACUAAAUCCUUAAAUUCAAAACAGUCAUCAUGUUGGAGAGAGAGACAAGCAAACAACAAGCAAAAUGCUAUGUGCUAUCACUCGGAUGCAUGUAUGCAGAGGAUCUUAUGGGAGGAUGGCUUACCAGGGGAUGUGACUCCAGAGCUGAGCUUUUCUAAGCCAUGACCAGGAAGUGUCCAGUCCCAGAGGCAAAGCCAGACUGCUGGAAGUUGCAGUUCUUGAUUUCACUGUAUCAUCAAUCAGCCACCUCCUUUUCUGCUAUGUAAUCCUGGGCAAGGCCUUCCCCUCUCUGGGCCUCUCUUAAAUAUAAGCAAAUAUAGUACAACA